AUUGAACGCUGGCGGCAUGCUUUACACAUGCAAGUCGAACGGUAACAGGCCUUCGGGUGCUGACGAGUGGCGCACGGGUGAGUAAUGCAUCGGAACGUACCCAGAGGUGGGGGAUAACGCAGCGAAAGCUGUGCUAAUACCGCGUGUGAUCUGAGGAUGAAAGCGGGGGACCGAGCAGCAAUGUUUGGCCUCGCGCCUUUGGAGCGGCCGAUGUCGGAUUAGCUAGUUGGUGGGGUAAAGGCCUACCAAGGCGACGAUCCGUAGCUGGUCUGAGAGGACGAUCAGCCACACGGGGACUGAGACACGGCCCAGACUCCUGCGGGAGGCAGCGGUGGGGAAUUUUGGACAAUGGGCGCGAGCCUGAUCCAGCAAUGCCGCGUACGGGAAGAAGGCCUUCGGGUUGUAAACCGCUUUUGGCAGGAACGAAACGGUGUCCGCUAAUACCGGGCGCUAAUGACGGUACCUGCAGAAUAAGCACCGGCUAACUACGUG
rnacentral:rRNA from 1 species